AUUCAUUGCAAUUACCCUGAUUUGACAGCAACCGUUAAAGGAAAUAAAAAUGACAGCUUUGGAGCAGUCCUGUCGUGCCGCAUGAUGGCUCUUGGCAGCAGGAGACCUAAUCACCCUCCUGAAGAUGUCUGUUGAGAUCCCACGUCUGAAUAGCAAAGUGCCCAACAAAGCCACUGCACAUCUGAGAUCUCCACCCAAGAAAAGCUGUGUCACUGAGAUGAAGUUGCACAAAACACAUCUUACAGUGGUGCAGGAUUUCUUUGAGAUGAGCCCCACUACCUUUGUACGGGGGGAACAUUCCACGCUCUGGUGGUCAUGGGCUCCCAUUAACAUAAAUCUCCCCAGUCAUCAGUGA
rnacentral:lncRNA from 1 species